rnacentral:rRNA from 1 species
UACGUAGGUGGCAAGCGUUGUCCGGAUUUACUGGGCGUAAAGGGCGUGCAGGCGGUCUGUUAAGUGCAGGGUGAAAGCUCCCGGCUCAACUGGGAGAGGUCCUUGCAUACUGGCGGACUUGAGGGGGGUAGAGGAAAGUGGAAUUCCCGGUGUAGUGGUGAUAUGCGUAGAUAUCGGGGGGAACACCUGUGGCGAAGGCGGCUUUCUGGGCCCUACCUGACGCUGAGACGCGAAAGCGUGGGGAGCGAACCGG